CAAAGCUUCUUCAUCACUUGCACCAGCUUUUCUCCGCUUCUUCAAAUUCUCGUCUAAACCAAGUUCCAUAGACAAUUCCUCCGCUUCCUGAGCUUCGCGUUCUGCAGCCUUGGCUCUCCGUUUACGUUUUUUUUCGUUGGGAGCAAAUCUCUUGUACUUUGAAAUUUUCCCAUCCUUAAUAGCAUUGUUUAUAACUUGCCGAAAACGGUCCUCAUCAGAAAUUUCACAGCACAUAACUUCUUCAAGAAUUACAUCCAUAGAUCCUUUUCCUUUUUCAUAAGCUUUCAAAACAUCACAUUUUUCCUCUUCAGAAUAUUGAUAGGAUGCUUUGAAUUCGUUAAGUGUCUCACCGGAAACAACACCUUGGUAUAAUUCGUCAAGCCACUCUUUCCAGUCGAAAUCAAUAUCAGCAUCGGUUUCACGUAAUUGUCCUGUUUUAUCGUAAUGUUUCCUUCUUUUUUUAUCACUUAGUACACCAUAAGCAAUUGCAACUUUAUCAAAUUCAAUCCUUGCUUCUACUUUCUUUUCCUCAUCGUGUAUUCGAUCAGGAUGAUGCUGAAGUGCCUUCUUUCGGUAAGCUCGUCGAAUUAGUUCGUCUGAUGCAUCUUUUUCUACACCCAAAACGCUAUAAGGAUCGAUGUCCAUUUUUAUGAAACUAUAGGUUAAUGGAAGAAGGGAAAACUGACAUUCAUCUUUAAUAUAGCAUAGAUUGAGUAAACCAGCCAUUCGAA